rnacentral:rRNA from 1 species
UACGGAGGAUCCAAGCGUUAUCCGGAUUUAUUGGGUUUAAAGGGUGCGUAGGCGGCCUAUUAAGUCAGGGGUGAAAGAUGGUAGCUUAACUAUCGCAGUGCCCUUGAUACUGAUGGGCUUGAAUAUACUAGAGGUAGGCGGAAUGUGGCAAGUAGCGGUGAAAUGCAUAGAUAUGUCACAGAACACCAAUUGCGAAGGCAGCUUACUAUGGUAUUAUUGACGCUGAGGCACGAAAGCGUGGGGAUCAAACAGG